GCUUACGGCCAUACCAGCCUGGGUACGCCCGAUCUCGUCUGAUCUCGGAAGCUAAGCAGGGUCGUGCCUGGUUAGUACUUGGAUGGGAGACUGCCUGGCAAUACCAGGUGCUGUAAGCA
rnacentral:rRNA from 1 species